AGACAAGAAAAUGGAGGCAAAGAACAUUGGAGUCACUCCCUGGCUACACACACUGAGGUGAUAACCAAGGUGCUCAAAAAGGGCCGGUGUGCCGCAGUGAGUGCCAGUUUGAAUGAAGGAAGCAUGCGUGGCCUGAAGCCUCACCGUGUUCCAGGCGUCCAGUUAAGUGCUCUGCACAUAAUAUCACACAUUGCGCUCCACGAUAAGAACAAAUUCUCACAUGGGAACCGAGCAAAGUGUAAUGGAUGUUCCCAGGAGCUGCCUAUGGGAUUCAAGAAAACUGUAUGAGAGGAGUAACAUUUGGGCUGGAAGCGAAAAUACAAGUAAACAUAUGUCAAAUGGAGUUAAUUUUCGGAAAAACAAGCCUGGUUUCCUUGGAGGAGUCCUUGCUGGGAACGAGUCCGUCCUCAGGUGAUGCUGCCUUGCCAGGCCACAUCCCUGGUAUUGCAGCCACUCUGCCAGAUCGGUGGCAGUUGGAGCAGCACCUUCUGCCUGCCCCACCGUUCCUGCCAGGCUCAGCUGAAGUUUUGCCCUACAGUUGGGGGAAGUAAGUAUCAGACGUGUGUGCGGUAAGGAAAAAUCAUUUUACGGGGAAAUCUACUUUGACUGAGAGUUAACAAAAUCAAGUUGGAAGAGGGGCAUUUCAGUUGGAAACUAGGGAACAUUUUUCCCCGUGGCACUUUAUUAGACAGCGGAAUGAGUUUCCCGGGCAGUAGCGGCCCCUUGUUUCAUUUAAAAAGACCAAUAUACAAGAGGUGCUGGCAGAGGGAUAGAUGAAGUGACCUAAGAGGGUUUCUAUUGCUCCAGCUUCUGUCGCCAAAUGAAACUCAAACAGCUUUUUCAUAUCUUAAACAGACCUACAUAGAGCAACUAUGAAAAUUCCAUCCAUUAUAAAUACCUCUUUUAGCAGCAGUUCAGAAAUAUGCCUCUUGGGUCCCAUUCAUCCUCAGUAGAUGGGAUUUGGAUGGCCAGGUGGGAGAGGACUUGUGGCUGGGGAGAAGGAAGGUAAGGUCUCCCCGCCGCAUCUCCGGAUCCCCGCCCAAGGAAGUGGGCCUGGAGAAGCAGAGGUAGGGCGGGCAAUCACUUCUUCAACUUUUCUUACGGUGUUUUACAAAAUGAUGCUGCCCUACCUCUCACCAAGUAAACAAUGCAAAGCAGGUGACCAUUUGCAAACAGGUUUUCCAGGGGCAGCUGAAUUCCUCACAAGGCUUCGAGUUGAUCACAUCCAUUUUGUGUCUGAUGACCCUGGCCACGCGGGAGGAGCAGGCAGGUGUUUUCUGUCUGGCUAAUCCGUGGAACAGGCCGCUUGGAGACAGGCGUGUGUGAAAUUGCUUUUCACACCGUUAGGGAGCUGGGAUGAUCUCUCAACAGCGUCACUGCACGUGAACACUGGCUGGAAUAUUUUCAUUUUAGAAAGGAUCGGAGCAAAGUUCUCAUUUUUCAUCAGAGAUACACUGGAGUAGGCGGAAGUCUUUCUGUUCCCCUUAACAAGGUGAGUGAAGAAUGCAGGAACAGUGCAAGAAACAGAUUAGACUUAAGAAGUAAAGCAACUUCCCUGACCGACUCAGAUUUAUGGCUUUAAUUAGGAAGGCCAACCAGGGUCAUAGGAAAAGCAGAGGAAUGACAGACCUGGGUUCAAAUCUCAUUUCUACAACUUGUUAAUUGUGAUAUUUGGGGCAAGAACCUCGAACAGACUUCGUCCAGUGGGAACAGUCAUACCAUCAAAACCAGUUGGAGUUCAGUGUCGCAGAACUUGUAACAAAGCCUGUUUACUCUCUACAAAUGAGUCAUUAUUCCUCACUGACAUGGUUUGGAUCUGUGUCCUUGCCCAAAUCUCAAGUGGAAUUGUAAUCCCCAGUGUUAAAGUUGGGGCCUGGUGAGAGGCAAGUGGAUCAUGGGGGUGGAUUUUCCUCUUGGUGCCGUUCUGGUGGUACUGAGUUCUCAUGAGAUCUGGUUGUUUAAAAGUGUGUGGCCCCUCCCUGCUGUCUCUUGUUCCUGCUCCUCCAUGUAAGACACCUGCUCCUGCUUUGCCUUCCACCACGAUUGGAAGUUCCCUGAGGCCACCCCAGAAAGAGAAGCCUCUAUGCUUCCUGUACAGCCUGCAGAACGAUGAGCCAAUUAAACUUCUUUAUAAAGUACCCACUCUCAGCUCCUUCCAGACCAUCGAGGUUAGACGAUGGGAGUGUGAGUCCACUGUGAUGUUAGACACACAGUGACCAGGGCCGCAGACCGGUUGAGCCCAUUUCUGUGGAAGGGAAGAGGAGAACGGCUCAUUUAGAACUACAGAGGAAAGCCAAGGUUCAAGGAGAAGAGGCAUUUGAACUGUAUCUUCAUCUUUUAUUAGGAUUCGAAUCCAGAAUGAAAAGAAAGGAAAUGUUUAGCCUG
rnacentral:lncRNA from 1 species